rnacentral:rRNA from 1 species
AGCAACAAAUGCCCUGCUUCCAGGAAAAGCCUCUAAGCAUCAGGUAACAUCAAAUCGUACCCCAAACCGACACAGGUGGUCAGGUAGAGAAUACCAAGGCGCUUGAGAGAACUCGGGUGAAGGAACUAGGCAAAAUGGUGCCGUAACUUCGGGAGAAGGCACGCUGACACGUAGGUGAAGUGAUUUACUCAUGGAGCUGAAGUCAGUCGAAGAUACCAGCUGGCUGCAACUGUUUAUUAAAAACACAGCACUGUGCAAACACGAAAGUGGACGUAUACGGUGUGACGCCUGCCCGGUGCCGGAAGGUUAAUUGAUGGGGUCAGCGCAAGCGAAGCUCCUGAUCGAAGCCCCGGUAAACGGCGGCCGUAACUAUAACGGUCCUAAGGUAGCGAAAUUCCUUGUCGGGUAAGUUCCGACCUGCACGAAUGGCGUAAUGAUGGCCAGGCUGUCUCCACCCGAGACUCAGUGAAAUUGAACUCGCUGUGAAGAUGCAGUGUACCCGCGGCAAGACGGAAAGACCCCGUGAACCUUUACUAUAGCUUGACACUGAACAUUGAGCCUUGAUGUGUAGGAUAGGUGGGAGGCUUUGAAGCGUGGACGCCAGUCUGCGUGGAGCCGACCUUGAAAUACCACCCUUUAAUGUUUGAUGUUCUAACGUGGACCCGUAAUCCGGGUUGCGGACAGUGUCUGGUGGGUAGUUUGACUGGGGCGGUCUCCUCCUAAAGAGUAACGGAGGAGCACGAAGGUUGGCUAAUCCUGGUCGGACAUCAGGAGGUUAGUGCAAUGGCAUAAGCCAGCUUGACUGCGAGCGUGACGGCGCGAGCAGGUGCGAAAGCAGGUCAUAGUGAUCCGGUGGUUCUGAAUGGAAGGGCCAUCGCUCAACGGAUAAAAGGUACUCCGGGGAUAACAGGCUGAUACCGCCCAAGAGUUCAUAUCGACGGCGGUGUUUGGCACCUCGAUGUCGGCUCAUCACAUCCUGGGGCUGAAGUAGGUCCCAAGGGUAUGGCUGUUCGCCAUUUAAAGUGGUACGCGAGCUGGGUUUAGAACGUCGUGAGACAGUUCGGUCCCUAUCUGCCGUGGGCGCUGGAGAACUGAGGGGGGCUGCUCCUAGUACGAGAGGACCGGAGUGGACGCAUCACUGGUGUUCGGGUUGUCAUGCCAAUGGCACUGCCCGGUAGCUAAAUGCGGAAGAGAUAAGUGCUGAAAGCAUCUAAGCACGAAACUUGCCCCGAGAUGAGUUCUCCCUGAGACUUUAGGUCUCCUGAAGGAACGUUGAAGACGACGACGUUGAUAGGCCGGGUGUGUAAGCGCAGCGAUGCGUUGAGCUAACCGGUACUAAUGAACCGUGAGGCUUAACCUUACA